rnacentral:rRNA from 1 species
UACGGGGGGGGCAAGCGUUGUUCGGAAUUACUGGGCGUAAAGGGCGUGUAGGCGGCCCACUAAGUCCGACGUGAAAUCCCUAGGCUUAACCUAGGAACUGCGUCGGAUACUGGAUGGCUUGAAUCCGGGAGAGGGAUGCGGAAUUCCAGGUGUAGCGGUGAAAUGCGCAGAUAUCAGGAGGAACACCGAUGGCGAAGGCAGGUCUCUGGGCCACUACUGACGCUGAGAAGCGAAAGCAUGGGGAGCGAACAGG